rnacentral:rRNA from 1 species
UAGGGAAUAUUGGACAAUGGGGGCAACCCUGAUCCAGCCAUGCCGCGUGAGUGAAGAAGGCCCUCGGGUUGUAAAGCUCUUUUGUCCGGAAAGAAAAGCAUUCGGUGAAUACCCGGAUGUUCUGACGGUACCGGAAGAAUAAGCACCGGCUAACUACGUGCCAGCAGCCGCGGUAAUACGUAGGGUGCGAGCGUUAAUCGGAAUUACUGGGCGUAAAGCGUGCGCAGGCGGCUUUGUAAGACAGAUGUGAAAUCCCCGGGCUUAACCUGGGAACUGCGUUUGUGACUGCAAGGCUGGAGUACGGCAGAGGGGGGUGGAAUUCCACGUGUAGCAGUGAAAUGCGUAGAGAUGUGGAGGAACACCGAUGGCGAAGGCAGCCCCCUGGGCCUGUACUGACGCUCAUGCACGAAAGCGUGGGGAGCAAACA